rnacentral:rRNA from 1 species
GAGUUUGAUCUUGGCUCAGAUUGAACGCUGGCGGCAUGCCUUACACAUGCAAGUCGAACGGCAGCAUGAUCUAGCUUGCUAGAUUGAUGGCGAGUGGCGAACGGGUGAGUAAUACAUCGGAACGUGCCCUGUAGUGGGGAUAACUAGUCGAAAGAUUAGCUAAUACCGCAUACGACCUGAGGGUGAAAGUGGGGGACCGCAAGGCCUCAUGCUAUAGGAGCGGCCGAUGUCUGAUUAGCUAGUUGGUGGGGUAAAGGCCCACCAAGGCGACGAUCAGUAGCUGGUCUGAGAGGACGAUCAGCCACACUGGGACAGAGACACGGCCCAGACUCCUACGGGAGGCAGCAGUGGGGAAUUUUGGACAAUGGGCGAAAGCCUGAUCCAGCAAUGCCGCGUGUGUGAAGAAGGCC